GCAAACUUGGUCAUUUAGAGGAAGUAAAAGUCGUAACAAGGUCUCCGUUGGUGAACCAGCGGAGGGAUCAUUACGAAACGGGACUUCAUGCCCCAAACCCAUUGUGAACCUACCUGUAGUACUGCUUCGGCGGGCGGCCCCGGGGGGGCCCAGGGCCCGGCUUAGGCUGGGUGCCCGCCGAAGGUCAGCCAACCACUAUGCUGUUAUGGAUAUUCCGAGUGAGAGCUGCCGAGAGGCGGCGAGAAAUAGACUUAAAAACUUUCAACAACGGAUCUCUUGGUUCUGGCAUCGAUGAAGAACGCAGC
rnacentral:misc_RNA from 1 species